rnacentral:rRNA from 1 species
UACAGAGGGUGCAAGCGUUUGUUCGGAAUUAUUGGGCGUAAAGCGCGUGUAGGCGGCUUUGCAAGUCGGGUGUGAAAGCCCUCAGCUUAACUGAGGAAGUGCGCCCGAAACUGCAUGGCUUGAGUACCGGAGAGGGUGGCGGAAUUCCCCAAGUAGAGGUGAAAUUCGUAGAUAUCGGGAAGAACACCCGUGGCGAAGGCGGCUCUCUGGGACGGUACUGACGCUGAGACGCGAAAAGCGUGGGGGAGCGAACAGGAUUAGAACCUAC